rnacentral:tRNA from 1 species
GUUAAUGUAGCUUAAUAAUAAAGCAAAGCACUGAAAAUGCUUAGACGGAUUUUACCAAUCCCAUAAA